CCUACGGGCGGCUGCAGUGGGGAAUAUUGGACAAUGGGCGAAAGCCUGAUCCAGCCAUGCCGCGUGUGUGAAGAAGGCCUUCGGGUUGUAAAGCACUUUCAGUGGGGAAGAAAGCCUUGGGGCUAAUACCCUCGAGGAAGGACAUCACCCACAGAAGAAGCACCGGCUAACUCCGUGCCAGCAGCCGCGGUAAUACGGAGGGUGCGAGCGUUAAUCGGAAUUACUGGGCGUAAAGCGCGCGUAGGCGGUCUGAUAAGCCGGUUGUGAAAGCCCCGGGCUCAACCUGGGAACGGCAUCCGGAACUGUCAGGCUAGAGUGCAGGAGAGGAAGGUAGAAUUCCCGGUGUAGCGGUGAAAUGCGUAGAGAUCGGGAGGAAUACCAGUGGCGAAGGCGGUCUUCUGGACUGACACUGACGCUGAGGUGCGAAAGCGUGGAUAGCAAACAGGAUUAGAUACCCUAGUAGUC
rnacentral:rRNA from 1 species